GUUGUGCCCUUGAGGCGUGGCUUCCGGAGCUAACGCGUUAAGUCGACCGCCUGGGGAGUACGGCCGCAAGGUUAAAACUCAAAUGAAUUGACGGGGGCCCGCACAAGCGGUGGAGCAUGUGGUUUAAUUCGAUGCAACGCGAAGAACCUUACCUGGUCUUGACAUCCACGGAAGUUUUCAGAGAUGAGAAUGUGCCUUCGGGAACCGUGAGACAGGUGCUGCAUGGCUGUCGUCAGCUCGUGUUGUGAAAUGUUGGGUUAAGUCCCGCAACGAGCGCAACCCUUAUCCUUUGUUGCCAGCGGUCCGGCCGGGAACUCAAAGGAGACUGCCAGUGAUAAACUGGAGGAAGGUGGGGAUGACGUCAAGUCAUCAUGGCCCUUACGACCAGGGCUACACACGUGCUACAAUGGCGCAUACAAAGAGAAGCGACCUCGCGAGAGCAAGCGGACCUCAUAAAGUGCGUCGUAGUCCGGAUUGGAGUCUGCAACUCGACUCCAUGAAGUCGGAAUCGCUAGUAAUCGUGGAUCAGAAUGCCACGGUGAAUACGUUCCCGGGCCUUGUACACACCGCCCGUCACACCAUGGGAGUGGGUUGCAAAAGAAGUAGGUAGCUUAACCUUCGGGAGGGCGCUUACCACUUUGUGAUUCAUGACUGGGGUGAAGUCGUAACAAGGUAACCGUAGGGGAACCUGCGGUUGGAUCACCUCCUUACCUUAAAGAAGC
rnacentral:rRNA from 2 species